UCAGUAACACGUAGUCAACAUGCCCAGGGGACGUGGAUAACCUCGGGAAACUGAGGAUAAACCGCGAUAAGUCACUACUUCUGGAAUGGGUAAUGACUUAAAUCUAUAUGGCCCCUGGAUUGGACUGCGGCCGAUCAGGCUGUUGGUGAGGUAAUGGCCCACCAAACCUGUAACCGGUACGGGCUCUGAGAGGAGGAGCCCGGAGAUGGGCACUGAGACAAGGGCCCAGGCCCUAUGGGGCGCAGCAGGCGCGAAACCUCUGCAAUAGGCGAAAGCCUGACAGGGUUACUCUGAGUGAUCUCCGUUAAGGAGAUCUUUUGGCACCUCUAAAAAUGGUGCAGAAUAAGGGGUGGGCAAGUCUGGUGCCAGCCGCCG
rnacentral:rRNA from 1 species